CCUAAGAGAAGAAAGUCGAUUGUUGUCUCCAGGGCAUUCUGGCAGGAGAGAAAGGAAAACUCAGGCCCCGAUGACCAGAGGCCCUCAGCACACGCCCGCCCGGCCUCCUGCCCUUGGCCCUGGAGCUCUCUUUCCACUUCUGCUACCUGGGUCCCCUAACGAGGCUUGCUGGGGGACCAUGGCGCCCGCUCUCCUUCCUGUCCACUGAUCUCCCGAGCAUUGGCUUCUGAGUGGCGAGCGGGUGGUCUCGGGUCCAGCGGCGCAGUCCCUUGGAGAGCAGCGGCUUCGUGAUCAGCAGUCAGGUCCACAGCUGCUCAGGGGUGACCUUUCUCUGAGUCAAGGAAACUCCGGGACUUCAGCACUGCGCUGGUGCUCAGAGGCCCAGUCUCUCAGGAACACAGGGAAGCAGGCCAAACACGAACACACAGCAAGCGCCCGGCGCCUCUGGGACCCAUCUGCUCACCUGGUGCUCUCGGCCUCUUGGAUCCGGAGUCACUGGGUCUCCUCACUCACUUGUCGUCUGCCCCCUCCCCCCGCCCCAUGAGUGAGCCCCCUUGCUGGCAGCUCCACCCGUGUCCCCAGCAACCCAGCUGACAAAGGCCGGGGGUGAGUGUCUGCUCCGUGGGAACACACCGCUCCGUGUGCAAGCGUUUCGGGCAAGGACCCCGACAACUGUAUCAGACCCUGAGGAUGCUUCUUGCUGCCUUCUGUCCCCCACCUGGGGACAAGCCUGCCCGGAAGUUUGCAGCUGGCCAGGACACAGGAGUCAGGCGCUGUCAUCAGACGGGAGGUCUGAAGGUCUUCCUGCUGUGCCGGACACUGCAGAGCGGAGACAGCUCGGCUCGAGCUUUCCCUUAGCAUCCCUUCCCCGGAGCUUCUUGCCUCCCCUGUGUUCUCCUCGGCCUCUGUUACUCAGAAGAGAAUUUUGGAAUUCCCGACUUUACGUAGGGCUCGCAAAGUUGGCUUCUCCUUCUGGUUUCUAAAUUACAUGCAGUCAGGACAUGCGCUGUCCCUGGCACUGACUGGAGAUUUCCUGAGGCGGCUUUGUCUCAUCCGCCUCUCCUUCCUGACUUUCCUCGUGGUGAAUCCUCUCUCUGCCCGGCCCUGCUUGAUGCAUUUUGGAGCCGCCUGCAGAGCACCCAGGUCCGGUGCGGGUGUCUCUGGGCAGAGCCCCUGGCACUGCGUCCCCUCCGUCCCUCUGACCCUGCGCACUGCCUCUGCCCGAGCCCAUUUCAGGGUGCAGGGCACAGCCCGCCUGUCUCCCGGGGUGUCUUUCCCAGUUUGUCUGAGUGUUUCAUCCUCCAGAAAUGUCCUGAGGCAGAGCGGAUGGUUCCUGGGGGCUCAGCAGCCGCAGGUCAGGGCUUUUUGUCUUCAUUUCCUCCCUUUCUUUUUCAUUCCUUUCUCUCCAGCACUUAAGAUGGAGCCUGGGCCUGUUGAGAGAGGCAAGUGCCCCACCGCUGCCCUGAUCUCCCCUCAACAAGCCCUCCCUGAGCCACGCUGAAAUUGCCACCCCAGCGAACGAGGAGGCCAGCAGAAGUGACAGCAGCAGCAAGACCCUCCCAGUGCUCCAGGGGUGCAGAGCAAGUGGCCAAGGCAGCAGGGUGGGAGUGCCCGCCGUGGGGUCUCUGCUCCCUGGAAGGGCACUGUGACACCACGAUGGCCUCCACCUGUGCCCGGCAGACCUGGAGGACAGUCAUCUGUCCGGCCUCGCAUCCCAGCCAACCGCAGAGCAGAGCUGCCUAACUCAACGCUUCCGUACUGCCACUCCCCAGUGACAGAGUGACGGCCAUGCACACAGCACCCCACCCCUUCACGUGCCAGAGGUCCUCAUCCUUGCGAGGAGACGCGGACUCUCUGCCCGUGCUGCACCGCCGCCUUCUGCAGUGUCACAGCCAGCCCUGGAAUCUGGUGCCGGAAAUUCUCCGACUGCCCUUCCUGCCUCUCCCUCUCUUCCUCCUCUCUCCUCUCCUUUUCUCUUUUCUUUUCUUUGCAUCCUUCUUUCUUUUCAGUAAUAAGGAUUGAGCCCAGGGUCUUUGCACUGACCUACAUUCCCAUCCUUUUUUUUUUCCUGUACUGGAAAUGGAACUCAGGACCUUGUGCUUACCAGGCAGGUGCACCACCACUGAGCUAAAUCCCCAGCCUUUGGGGUUUUCUUUUUGAGACAGGGUCUUGCUCUGUAGUUCAGGCUGUCCUUGAACCCACUGUGUAGCCCAGGCAGGCCUUGAACUCACAGCAAUCCUCCUGCCUCAGCUUCCCGGGUUCUGCAAUUACAGGUGUGUGCCACCUCACCCAGCUUUAUGUUUUGAGAAAGCGUCUUGUUAAAUUGUUGAGUUGCCCAAGCCGUGCUCAAACGUGUGACCCUCCGGCCUCAGCCUCCUGAGUGCUGGGAUCCCAGGAGUGUAGCUCCACGCCCAGCUGUAUGAUCUGCCCAAGUAACAGCUGCUACUGAAGACGACUACUUGGGAAUAGUGACUGAUGAGUGGAACAGGGCCGUGUGGCACCCAGGGAAUCGCUGGGCCAUCACUGCGUUUCUACAUAGUGCACUUCCCCUCCUGCAGGAAGCCCCGGGGCUCGACCAUGAGCACACAGCUGACCCCGAAAGGAGCCCAGGGUGCGAUGUGUGUGCCCACGGCCGUCCGCAGGGCCAUGCUCCCUGCCUGAGCCGGGCCCGACCUCCUCAGGGGUCCAUGUGAGCGCUGAGCUCCAUCUUCCUCCCCCACCGGUAAGAAUUUGGCCAGAACAAGCCUGGAAAAGAAGCCCUGCUGUUUAGGGCAGAUGCCCCUCCUGUACUGCGCUGCGGAGAAAGCUGGAAUGGAGGGGACGGGGCCCUGAAAACCCCUCCCUGCCCACAGGCCAGGCGGCCAGUGAGGUCUGAGGUUUCCCCGUCAGGGAUGCAGGACUGCGGCUAACCCCAGGCCACCGCCACUGCCUGCUGGGAAGGGCACAGACGAGAUGUGUCACUGGUCGCCACGUCCACACUCCAAUUUCCUGCUUCCCAGAUGUCCAGGACUCGUGCCAAGCACAGCGGCUCGGGCCUGGAAUCCCAGCUACUUGGAAGGCUGAGGCAGGAGGAUCAUGCG
ensembl:lncRNA